AACGCACAUUGCGCCCUUUGGUAUUCCGAAGGGCAUGCCUGUUCGAGCGUCAUUAUCAACCCUCAAGCCUGGCUUGUUGUUGGACCUUCGUCGUUAAACUGACGGGUCUCAAAGACAAUGACGGAGUCAGUUGGACCCUAGAUGCAACGAGCUUUCGAGCACGCAUUGAAGGGGCUGGUGGUUCCGGUCUUCACCAAAUAUUUUAUGUAAGGUUGACCUCGGAUCAGGUAGGAAUACCCGCUGAACUUAA
rnacentral:misc_RNA from 1 species